GUGCUUGCUUCGGCAGUAUGUAUACUAAAAUUGGAAUGGUAAAAAAAAGAUUAGCAUGGUCCCUAUACAAGGAUGACACGCAAAUUCGUGAAGCAUUCCAUAUUUUU
ensembl:snRNA U6 U6 spliceosomal RNA